rnacentral:rRNA from 1 species
GACGAACGCUGGCGGCGUGCUUAACACAUGCAAGUCGAACGGAAAGGCCCUGCUUUUGUGGGGUGCUCGAGUGGCGAACGGGUGAGUAACACGUGAGUAACCUGCCCUUGACUUUGGGAUAACUUCAGGAAACUGGGGCUAAUACCGGAUAGGAGCUCCUGCUGCAUGGUGGGGGUUGGAAAGUUUCGGCGGUUGGGGCUGGACUCGCGGCUUAUCAGCUUGUUGGUGGGGUAGUGGCUUACCAAGGCUUUGACGGGUAGCCGGCCUGAGAGGGUGACCGGCCACAUUGGGACUGAGAGACGGCCCAGGCUCCUACGGGAGGCAGCAGUGGGGAAUAUUGCACAAUGGGCGGAAGCCGGAUGCAGCAACGCCGCGUGCGGGAUGACGGCCUUCGGGUUGUAAACCGCUUCCGCCUGUGACGAAGCGUGAGUGACGGUAAUGUGUAAAGAAGCACCGGCUAACUACGUG